AUUGAACGCUGGCGGCAGGCCUAACACAUGCAAGUCGAACGGUAACAGGAAGACGCUUGCUUCUUUGCUGACGAGUGGCGGACGGGUGAGUAAUGUCUGGGAAACUGCCUGAUGGAGGGGGAUAACUACUGGAAACGGUAGCUAAUACCGCAUAAUGUCGCAAGACCAAAGAGGGGGACCUUCGGGCCUCUUGCCAUCGGAUGUGCCCAGAUGGGAUUAGCUAGUAGGUGGGGUAACGGCUCACCUAGGCGACGAUCCCUAGCUGGUCUGAGAGGAUGACCAGCCACACUGGAACUGAGACACGGUCCAGACUCCUACGGGAGGCAGCAGUGGGGAAUAUUGCACAAUGGGCGCAAGCCUGAUGCAGCUAUGCCGCGUGUAUGAAGAAGGCCUUCGGGUUGUAAAGUACUUUCAGCGGGGAGGAAGGGAGUAAAGUUAAUACCUUUGCUCAUUGACGUUACCCGCAGAAGAAGCACCGGCUAACUCCGUG
rnacentral:rRNA from 1 species